GGGUGAUGUGUGAGGGUGAGGGGUGGACGGGUGGAGGGUGAUGGGUGGAGGGUGACGGGUGGAGGGUGAUGUGUGAGGGUGAGGGGUGGACGGGUGGAGGGUGAUGGGUGGAGGGUGACGGGUGGAGGGUGAUGGGUGGAGGGUGAGGGGUGGACGGGUGAUGGGUGGAGGGUGACGGGUGAAGGGUGACGGGUGGAGGGUGAUGGCUGGAGGGUGAUGGGUGGAGGGUGAUGGUUGACGGUGAGGGGUGGACGGAUGGAGGGUGAUGGGUGAAGGGUGACGGGUGGAGGGUGAUGUGUGAGGGUGAGGGGUGGACGGGUGGAGGGUGAUGGGUGGAGGGUGACGGGUGGAGGGUGAUGUGUGAGGGUGAGGGGUGGACGGGUGGAGGGUGAUGGGUGGAGGGUGAUGGGUGGAGGGUGAUGGGUGACGGGUGGAGGGUGAUGGUUGAGGGUGAGGGGUGGACGGGUGGAGGGUGACGGGUGGGGGGUGACGGGUGGAGGGUGAUGGGUGGAGGGUGAUGGUUGACGGUGAGGGGUGGACGGAUGGAGGGUGAUGGGUGAAGGGUGAUGGGUGGAGGGUGAC
ensembl:lncRNA